CAGUCGCCGCGGUAAUACGAAGGGUGCAAGAGUUAAUCGGAAUUACUGGGCGUAAAGCGUGCGUAGGCGGUUUGUUAAGUCUGCUGUGAAAUCCCCGGGCUCAACCUGGGAAUGGCAGUGGAUACUGGCAAGCUAGAGUGUGUCAGAGGAUGGUGGAAUUCCCGGUGUAGCGGUGAAAUGCGUAGAGAUCGGGAGGAACAUCAGUGGCGAAGGCGGCCAUCUGGGACAACACUGACGCUGAGGCACGAAAGCGUGGGGAGCAAACAGGGUUAGAUACCCCUGUAGUCCCUGUCUCUUAUAC
rnacentral:rRNA from 1 species